rnacentral:rRNA from 1 species
UACGGAGGGUGCGAGCGUUGUCCGGAAUCACUGGGCGUAAAGGGCGCGUAGGCGGCUUUGCAAGUGACGGGUGAAAUCCCUCGGCUUAACCGAGGAACUGCCUGUCAAACUGCAUGGCUUGAGACCGGGAGAGGUGAGUGGAAUUCCCAGUGUAGCGGUGAAAUGCGUAGAUAUUGGGAAGAACACCGGUGGCGAAGGCGGCUCACUGGCUCAUAUCUGACGCUCAGGCGCGACAGCGUGGGGAUCAAACAGG